UCUCAGAUGGUCCAGUGGCUAAGAUUUCCGCCUGUCAUUGGUUGCUCGCGGACGACCGGGGUUCGAUUCCCCGUCUGAGAG